UACGUAGGGGGCAAGCGUUGUCCGGAUUUAUUGGGCGUAAAGAGCGUGUAGGCGGCCUUACAGGUCAGCUGUGAAAACUCGAGGCUCAACCCUCGAGAGGUCGGUUGAAACCUUAAGGCUAGAGUCCGGAAGAGGAGAGUGGAAUUCCCGGUGUAGCGGUGAAAUGCGCAGAUAUCGGGAAGAACACCCGUGGCGAAGGCGGCUCUCUGGGACGGUACUGACGCAUGAG
rnacentral:rRNA from 1 species